rnacentral:lncRNA from 1 species
CAGAGUGCGAGUACCAGAGUUAUUAGUUAGUUAGUUUGUUUAUCCUUCUUUGAUGUCGAUGAACAUUUGAAGAUCUUGUAAUUGAACUAAUUUGUUUAUUUGGAUAUGUCGGACUUGUCUAAUUGAAUUAUUAAAUUAAUCAUGGAUUUAUUGGAAUUUUGUUAAACAUAGGCCUUGCAUGAUCUUUAGGGCACUGCUCUAGGGCUCAUGCGGUCGGUCGCGUACCGGACCCGGGUGUUGGGUUCGGGGCGUGACA